UACGUAGGGCGCAAGCGUUAUCCGGAAUUAUUGGGCGUAAAGAGCUCGUAGGCGGUCUGUCGCGUCGAUCGUGAAAACUUGGGGCUUAACCCUGAGCUUGCGGUCGAUACGGGCAUGACUGGAGUUCGGCAGGGGAGACUGGAAUUCCUGGUGUAGCGGUGAAAUGCGCAGAUAUCAGGAGGAACACCGGUGGCGAAGGCGGGUCUCUGGACAGUUCCUGACACUGAGGCACGAAGGCCAGGGGAGCAAACGGG
rnacentral:rRNA from 1 species